GACGAACGCUGGCGGCGUGCUUAACACAUGCAAGUCGAACGGAAAGGCCCUGCUUUUGUGGGGUGCUCGAGUGGCGAACGGGUGAGUAACACGUGAGUAACCUGCCCUUGACUUUGGGAUAACUUCAGGAAACUGGGGCUAAUACCGGAUAGGAGCUCCUGCUGCAUGGUGGGGGUUGGAAAGUUUCGGCGGUUGGGGAUGGACUCGCGGCUUAUCAGCUUGUUGGUGGGGUAGUGGCUUACCAAGGCUUUGACGGGUAGCCGGCCUGAGAGGGUGACCGGCCACAUUGGGACUGAGAUACGGCCCAGACUCCUACGGGAGGCAGCAGUGGGGAAUAUUGCACAAUGGGCGGAAGCCUGAUGCAGCAACGCCGCGUGCGGGAUGACGGCCUUCGGGUUGUAAACCGCUUUCGCCUGUGACGAAGCGUGAGUGACGGUACCUAACGAGAAAGCCACGGCUAACUACGUG
rnacentral:rRNA from 1 species